UUCAUACCUCCCCUCGCGGCAUUUGGUGCAAAGGAACCGAACUCAUCAACAAGGAUGAAAUUCCAACAGCUGGAGAAAAAGGACAAAGAUCUAAUACUCGUAGGUGUUCCCGAGUGGUCACCGAAAAGAGAAGCUUCGUGCGUCUUGAGCUAAAGAAACGCCAUCCAGAUCUAUCUCAGGAGGCACCUCAAGAAUCGCCAAUUUUCCUGUACGGCGUUGUUUCCCAAUUCCUCGUCCAUCCAGCUCCACCACCUUGCUAGAUUCUCUUGUGCACUCUCUCGGAUUUUUGCAUGUGAGUGUGGUGACCACACUGGCGAGCGUGUUGUUUGGAGGCGAAUUUGGGAAGCCAGCGAUUGGUUACAUUUAUGAAGCACACGACAAAGCUCGAAGAACCGGGAACAGGUUCUUGCUUGUACACUUGAAAAGUUUAUACUCUGCGUGUUUUAUGUGUCAGGGAGAGCGACUUUUAUCCGAGAUUACUUGAGCAAAACACCAGAGUGAGAUGAUGGGCGAACGUCAGUUUCGAUCGACAGAGAUAGAUCCUCAUCCUUCGCUCCAUUCAAGCACAGCACAGCACAGCCGCAGCAGCGAUCGAUCCAGUGUCGCAUUAGGACGCGACUUAUAACGUCUUGCUCGUAAGCACAAAAGAGAAGUAUAUAUGUUUGUUUCCUCUUGCUUCUUCUGAUCCUCCUUCCUGUGUCGCGGCGUUGCUUUUGUUUUUUUCUUUGAUAGCCACAGGGAAGAUAAAACGAAGAACAAAGGAGAUGCUGCAAAAAUUCCCCCCGCAAAGCUGUGCGCGAAAGCUUCUCUCACAUGGAUGACGUUGUCUGGUUGUUCCACACGCUUGGACGCAAUCAAUCAAUCAAUCAAUCAACCAGUCCAUCAAUCUUCUUUCCAUUCCAUUCCAAGCAAUCAGAGAAUUCCACUGCGCCAACUUUUCCAACCUAAUUGUUUCAUGGGCUUGGUUACGUCUGCUUUUGAGAAGGCGGUGCACUGAUCAAAUCGAAGAAGCCCCUGUAUGUAAAGAUUCCCUUUUUCCAGAAUCUUGCCCCACCACCUAUUAAGACCUAAUGAAGUUGACGUU